rnacentral:lncRNA from 1 species
GGCACAGGAUCGAAUGUCACAUCUUUACUACAUAACAGGAGUUCUGUACAAAAUAAAUAAAUAAUUACAUCAUAUGAGGAAACGAUCCAGCAACCCAAAGUUGACUGGGAGACGACGGCCUAGACCUCUCACGAACACAUCGCAGCAUCCUCCAUGCGCCUCAUCCUGUGGUACCUGUUCUUGACCUGUGUGGGGGGGUGUGAGACAGCAAGAGUGAGCUCACAUACGUUCAUCACUCAACAAGUUGUGGGGAAUAAUGUGCAUGAACUCGCCAAAGGUGGGAGCUCACGUGAAGUGUAAGGCUUACCAAAGAGGAUGGUUAGAGCUGAGCAUUGCUUUUAAAGUUAGUCAAAAUUUUAUUAGCAGUUACUAAGUAUAAGUAAAUACCAACCCAAUUAAGUAAUAACAAAAGUAACAACAUCACCUGCGAUGCAAUGCAUAUGACAAAUUGAAUUUAGUUCCAUAAGUUAAUCAUGUGAGUGUCCGAGCUGCUCAUGACCGUGAGCACGGCUAGUAUACCAGUUUUACACUCUGCAGAGGUUGCGCAUCUUUACCCACAAGUCAUGUUACCCAUCUGCCAAGGGAUCGCGACUUCCCAUACACCUCUACCGAGGAGGCGAGGCAGGGUAACACUACGAGGCCUUUACAAAGUUCCACUAGCUUCAGAAAACCCGCUACAGUUUAUAGGAAGCUCCAAUGCAGGAAUCCCUUGCAGGACCGCCAUCGCAGCAAAAUCCUCCCGAGGGCCUCCCUACACUGACCACUCCCCUACUGCCCUUGCCCCUUUCGGGUAAGGUAGCCUUCCACUAGCUUUCCUAAUUAAUCAGCCAAGGGGUCCCAUUCCUCCCUUGUGGUAGCACUGUUUUCCCGGGUGGUUCUCCAUGUUCCAAUUAACAUAAUGAUCUUAACAUGAACAAUAAAUAACAACUGAUAACAAAAGUAUAAUCAUGAGUAAUGUAUCUUCAUACCCAAAACCACAUAAAGCACUAGCAAGUACUACCCAAAAAGUUCAGUGGUAACAAGGUAUAAAGAUAAUCAAACUAGGGUAACCUAUUGGGUCCCAUCAAAAUUACCCUAUGCAGAUCAUUAUGAUUAAUCAGAACAUGAGUAGGUAAAAAGAAGUGAUCAAGGGCACAACUUGCCUGGGACUUGAGAUUCCAGGUACCAGGAUGAUCUUCAGAUGACUCGUGACCUCACAGCUAGUCGUAGCAAUACAGACAAACAUGGUAUAUGCAAAAUUAACAUCACACCAUACAUAAGAAUAAACUGCGUAAUAAUAAUCUACGCGUCGCUACGAGAUCGUGGGAACAAGAAUCACUACAAUCGGAGCCAUGGUUACCGAGUUAUGAUUUUCUGAAGAUCCGCUCAAUCUAAGCACUUAAAACUAGACCUUAUGUUGAUUUAAUAUAUCAUGUGAGAAAAUAACCUAAAUGAAUAAUUAAUUCAACUUUAAGUUAUAUCAUAAUAUAAUUAGGGAUCAUAUUUUAGCCAAACUAUAAUUAUAAACAGAUUAACUUUGAUUCAUAGAGGUUAAUCUACUAAACAUAGGUUAAAUGAAUAUCUAACUAUAAAAGUAUGAGAUAUGGUAUGAUUACUGUUUUUAGUACGUAGAGAAUAUUUUUAUGAAGCUAACGCAACUGGAACGGAGUAAAACGGAUUUAAAACGGGUAAGUUAUGCCAUAAACAAGUUUCUAGAAUUAUUUUGUAUUAAAAUUCAAUUUCUAAUAUUAAUUAUCUGGUUUUCUCUGUUGUCUGGACUGGGCGUCAAUAGCAGAGAAACCCAGGGGCUGACUCGCAAUUUCUCCCUAGACUCAGACUACUUUCUCGAGGAUGGUGGGUUUAUUUUUCAGGAAACCGAGGGCUUAUCUGUAAUAGGCACAUGUCGAAGAGGUAUGAGUUUGUUCCGAUUGUUGGAUUAGAUUCGGAUGGCGAGGAUCAAAUCUGUACCGGUAUGCGUUUGUAGCCACUAGAUAGAGAUCUGAUGGCCAAGACUCAACUUGAAUCGGUAAGCUACACAAGCCGUCGGAUCGAUGAUCCACAACCAAGAUCUAAGGGAACAGAGGGGUAGGCUUAGUCUAAUCUGGAACGUUGGUCAAGUCAUCAACGCCCCAGGAUCACCACUACCUACAUCAAGCCAAGCACAGCGGCGGCGCGAGGGGUGCGGUGGCGCCAUCGCCGCCGCCACCAUGGUUGUUUGACCCCAUGAUCGAAAUCGAUUGCGCGAUACACGAAGUAGAGGAAUGACUGAAUUGUACUGGGGUAGUUUUACCAAAGACCAUGACGCCAGCGGUGGUUGUCAACGCCAAUGGCGGCCCGGCAGCGCAUUCUUGACACCGACGAGGAAUUAGGGAGGAUCUGGUUCAUCACCAGUUCCUGCGAUUCCGCGUCCAGCAUCACCCCGACCCAGCGACGAUCCUUGGCCCAACAUAGACCACAGACCGGCCGCACGGAUGGAACACACCAACAGCGAUCACCACGACGUUCUCUCUCUCAAUCUCUCUGCAAUCCGACGAGCACACGGCGGUCCCUCUCCAGCUUCUCUCUCUCUCUCUCUGCGAUGAAGCUCGGUGCGAUUUUCCCAAUGGCAGCGCGCCCCACAUCACCCUGGCGCGAAUCACCUGGUGCUGGCGCUCAUGGCCGAGGCUCUUGCUAUUUAUAGAAGAGCAUGCGCGAAUUCUACGGAGGGCAAGGGUUAACCGAAUCCCCCAUUACAGGAGCGACUGCUACGCUAGCGAAUCACCGAUAGCGAUGGCCACGGCGAGAUCUCCGUUUCGCGGUUCAGUUGUAGCCAUCAGGGGGAAGAUGGCUCCUGGCGACAAGGCCCACAAGUCAGCCACCAAUGAGGGUGGGGCCACUUGUCAGCGAUAAUAGGCGCACAGUCACGUGGAGUCAUAGGUCGGAUAUCCGGGAGACCGUGUGGAGCCACAACGGAGACUGAGGAGUGGGACCCGAUGUCAUUGGCUGGAGCACCGAGGGCCGAGGUGGGCUGGCUGGUGCGUGAGAGAAACAAGGAAGAUGGGCCGAGGAUGUGGCAUUAGGCCCAAACGCAGGAAAGUGUUUUCCUUUUUUUCCUAUUUUCAAAUUCCAAUUAGAUUUUAAAUUCAAACAAAGUUCUAAUUUGCACACCAAAAAUAUAUUUCAACAUAAAUGCAAGGUUCAUGUAUUAAGUUUAUUCAUUUGUUUAUUACCUUAUUUAUUUAGGCAAUGUUUUCAAUAUGCAACACAAAAUAUUCAUUUUACGAAAGUAUUUCGAAUGUUUAGUCCAUUAGUGGUUCAUUCCAAAGCUUCAUUAUUUAUUACUUAUUCUAUUUUAUGAAGAAAUACCUUCUAGUAUAUAAUUACUUUUACGAGAAAAUACUCUUAUUUAGAUCUCAGGAUUAGAUAUAUGUGUAUAUAUAUAUAUUAUCUCUUUCUUUUAUUAUUUCAUGAUAUUUUUUUCUACCAAGUUUUUGGGCUUUACAAAUCCUACCUCCCUUAACAGAAAUCUCGUCCUCGAGAUUUGUAAGAAAAGGGAAUACAGAAGGAUUGGUUUGUAAUUCAAUUCUUAGUCUAUAAUCGGUUCAAAAAUCCAGGGUCUCAUAUGUAUUUUUGUCAAUAGUGGGUGAUUAGGAGAGCAUAGGUAUCCAGCUACUGAUUAGGUAGGAUAUAAGAGAUGGUUAGGUUAGGGCAAGAAUAGCCAGACGUGAAAAAGUUUGUGGUGAGGAAGAACUCCGUGCUGGGUGGUAAUGCAUCUGAAGCUUGAGUUUGACUUCUCUUCUUCCUUAACGAGGUUGAUCUUCUUUCACCUUCACCCUUAGAGUUGCCAUCCAUGUUUAGGACAUAUGGUUAAGAUAGUUGUCGGUGCUUGGGAUGGGUAGGCCCAACAAGGUUUACUUUGCUUUUGGGAUAAAUGGGUUGGGCAACCUAUAACAUAGGCUAGGUUGUGGUGGUUCCACAGACGAGUUGGUCUAAGACACCAAUUUAGUUUUAGUACCCAUCUAUGUUACCAAUAUUAAUUAACUUGUUUAAGUAACUCAAUUCGGAUUAGAUCAUGUUAGAUUAGGUGGGAUCUAGAUUAGAUUGGUAUAACUAGAUAAGAUCUAUUUAUUUUAGGCUAGAUCAUGGUUGUUACUGUAGAGUGGGAUAGGUAUGCCAAUUAGAACAAGAUAAAUCCAUAAGGAUGAGGUAGAAUCUUUUGGGGUCAGUUAGAUCUAUUAGGAUGACAUAAACUCUUUUCAAGAUAAGAUGAAUCUGCUAAGAUAAUAGAGUAUCAUUUAAGAUAAGAUGGAUCUAUUAAAUAUAUUUUAGUGGGAGAUAUUCUUAGUUGAUCUAGUUUAUCUUAUAAAUAUAUCUAGUUUAAUAGAUCCUAUUCUUAAUAGGGAAUAUUCUGUGUUGUCUAUUUUAUAAAUAUUUUCCCUUAUGUUUAGGUGUAUAUGUAAAUGCAAUUGUGGACAUUACUCCACAACCCAUCACACUCAAUCAAAGAACCAAAUCAGACACUUAUCAUAAGAACAAACAUUCAAGUGCAUAGAUAUCUAUAAAAAUAGUUUUGUUUCGGUUCCUAAGAUUAGGUCUCCUAUUCCUAAAGGUCACUCUAGGUACAUGAUUUCAAAGUGUGAAAUCCACAUUUGUUUUUAGAAGGAAAAGAUAAGAAUAAUCAGAGUAAAGCGGAAAUAGAUGAGAAAAGAUUAAGAAAAGUUUAGAAAGGAAUCAGAGUGGCAAGGUAAGUAAAUAAGGGUUAUCCAUUUCUAUCUAGGUUUUGUCCUACAGUCAACAUUCCUCUGAUACCACUUCUGUCACACCCAGAUUUUAGGGGUCCAAAACCCGGGCGCGAACAUAAUCACCAGGUGUGCUGGGACCAAGUCUCACACAUAUGAUGAUUCAUGGCACAGGAUCGAAUGUCACAUCUUUACUACAUAACAGGAGUUCUGUACAAAAUAAAUAAAUAAUUACAUCAUAUGAGGAAACGAUCCAGCAACCCAAAGUUGACUGGGAGACGACGGCCUAGACCUCUCACGAACACAUCGCAGCAUCCUCCAUGCGCCUCAUCCUGUGGUACCUGUUCUUGACCUGUGGGGGGGUGUGAGACAGCAAGAGUGAGCUCACAUACGUUCAUCGCUCAACAAGUUGUGGGGAAUAAUGUGCAUGAACUCGCCAAAGGUGGGAGCUCACGUGAAGUGUAAGGCUUACCAAAGAGGAUGGUUAGAGCUGAGCAUUGCUUUUAAAGUUAGUCAAAAUUUUAUUAGCAGUUACUAAGUAUAAGUAAAUACCAACCCAAUUAAGUAAUAACAAAAGUAACAACAUCACCUGCGAUGCAAUGCAUAUGACAAAUUGAAUUUAGUUCCAUAAGUUAAUCAUGUGAGUGUCCGAGCUGCUCAUGACCGUGAGCACGACUAGUAUACCAGUUUUACACUCUGCAGAGGUUGCACAUCUUUACCCACAAGUCAUGUUACCCAUCUGCCAAGGGAUCGCGACUUCCCAUACACCUCUACCGAGGAGGCGAGGCAGGGUAACACUACGAGGCCUUUACAAAGUUCCACUAGCUUCAGAAAACCCGCUACAGUUUAUAGGAAGCUCCAAUGCAGGAAUCCCUUGCAGGACCGCCAUCGCAGCAAAAUCCUCCCGAGGGCCUCCCUACACUGACCACUCCCCUACUGCCCUUGCCCCUUUCGGGUAAGGUAGCCUUCCACUAGCUUUCCUAAUUAAUCAGUCAAGGGGUCCCAUUCCUCCCUUGUGGUAGCACUGUUUUCCCGGGUGGUUCUCCAUGUUCCAAUUAACAUAAUGAUCUUAACAUGAACAAUAAAUAACAACUGAUAACAAAAGUAUAAUCAUGAGUAAUGUAUCUUCAUACCCAAAACCACAUAAAGCACUAGCAAGUACUACCUAAAAAGUUCAGUGGUAACAAGGUAUAAAGAUAAUCAAACUAGGGUAACCUAUUGGGUCCCAUCAAAAUUAACCUAUGCAGAUCAUUAUGAUUAAUCAGAACAUGAGUAGGUAAAAAGAAGUGAUCAAGGGCACAACUUGCCUGGGACUUGAGAUUCCAGGUACCAGGAUGAUCUUCAGAUGACUCGUGACCUCACAACUAGUCGUAGCAAUACAGACAAACAUGGUAUAUGCAAAAUUAACAUCACACCAUACAUAAGAAUAAACUGCGUAAUAAUAAUCUACGCGUCGCUACGAGAUCGUGGGAACAAGAAUCACUACAAUCGGAGCCAUGGUUACCGAGUUAUGAUUUUCUGAAGAUCCGCUCAAUCUAAGCACUUAAAACUAGACCUUAUGUUGAUUUAAUAUAUCAUGUGAGAAAAUAACCUAAAUGAAUAAUUAAUUCAACUUUAAGUUAUAUCAUAAUAUAAUUAGGGAUCAUAUUUUAGCCAAACUAUAAUUAUAAACAGAUUAACUUUGAUUCAUAGAGGUUAAUCUACUAAACAUAGGUUAAAUGAAUAUCUAACUAUAAAAGUAUGAGAUAUGGUAUGAUUACUGUUUUUAGUACGUAGAGAAUAUUUUUAUGAAGCUAACGCAACUGGAACGGAGUAAAACAGAUUUAAAACGGGUAAGUUAUGCCAUAAACAAGUUUCUAGAAUUAUUUUGUAUUAAAAUUCAAUUUCUAAUAUUAAUUAUCUGGUUUUCUCUGUUGUCUGGACUGGGCGUCAAUAGCAGAGAAACCCAGGGGCUAACUCGCAAUUUCUCCCUAGACUCAGACUACUUUCUCGAGGAUGGCGGGUUUAUUUUUCAGGAAACCGAGGGCUUAUCUGUAAUAGGCACAUGUCGAAGAGGUAUGAGUUUGUUCCGAUCGUUGGAUUAGAUUCGGAUGGCGAGGAUCAAAUCUGUACCGGUAUGCGUUUGUAGCCACUAGAUAGAGAUCUGAUGGCCAAGACUCAACUUGAAUCGGUAAGCUACACAAGCCGUCGGAUCGAUGAUCCACAGCCAAGAUCUAAGGGAACAGAGGGGUAGGCUUAGUCUAAUCUGGAACGUUGGUCAAGUCAUCAACGCCCCAGGAUCACCACUACCUACAUCAAGCCAAGCACAGCGGCGACGCGAGGGGUGCGGUGGCGCCAUCGCCGCCACCACCAUGGUUGUUUGACCCCAUGAUCGAAAUCGAUUGCGCGAUACACGAAGUAGAGGAAUGACUGAAUUGUACUGGGGUAGUUUUACCGAAGACCAUGACGCCAGCGGUGGUUGUCAACGCCAAUGGCGGCCCGGCAGCGCAUUCUUGACACCGACGAGGAAUUAGGGAGGAUCUGGUUCAUCACCAGUUCCUGCGAUUCCGCGUCCAGCAUCACCCCGACCCGGCGACGAUCCUUGGCCCAACAUAGACCACAGACCGGCCGCACGGAUGGAACACACCGACAGCGAUCACCACGACGUUCUCUCUCUCAAUCUCUCUGCAAUCCGACGAGCACACGGCAGUCCCUCUCCAGCUUCUCUCUCUCUCUCUGCGAUGAAGCUCGGUGCGAUUUUCCCAAUGGCAGCGCGCCCCACAUCACCCUGGCGCGAAUCACCUGGUGCUGGCGCUCAUGGCCGAGGC